GACGAACGCUGGCGGCGUGCUUAACACAUGCAAGUCGAGCGGAAAGGCCCUUUCGGGGGUACUCGAGCGGCGAACGGGUGAGUAACACGUGAGUAAUCUGCCCUUGGCUUUGGGAUAACUACCGGAAACGGUGGCUAAUACCGGAUAUGACCAUGCUCGGCAUCGGGUGUGGUGGAAAGUUUUUUUCGGCCAGGGGAUGUGCUCGCGGCCUAUCAGCUUGUUGGUGGGGUAAUGGCCUACCAAGGCUUCGACGGGUAGCCGGCCUGAGAGGGUGACCGGCCACACUGGGACUGAGACACGGCCCAGACUCCUACGGGAGGCAGCAGUGGGGAAUAUUGGACAAUGGGCGGAAGCCUGAUCCAGCAAGCCGCGUGAGGGAUGACGGCCUCGG
rnacentral:rRNA from 1 species